UACGGGGGGGGGCAAGCGUUGUUCGGAAUUACUGGGCGUAAAGGGCUCGUAGGUGGCCAACUAAGUCAGACGUGAAAUCCCUCGGCUUAACCGGGGAACUGCGUCCGAUACUGGUGGGCUUGAAUCCGGGAGAGGGAUGCGGAAUUCCAGGUGUAGCGGUGAAAUGCGUAGAUAUCUGGAGGAACACCGGUGGCGAAGGCGGCAUCCUGGACCGGCAUUGACGCUGAGGCGCGAAAGCUAGGGGAGCAAACGGG
rnacentral:rRNA from 1 species